rfam:Rattus norvegicus chromosome 7, whole genome shotgun sequence.
GGGGAUUUAGCUCAGUGGUAGAGCGCUUGCCUAGCAAGCUGAAGGCCCUGGGUUCGGUCCCCAGCUCCG